UUGUGCUUCUGUCAGAAUGAAGAGAUGAUGUUGUGACUGCAGAUGAAUUCUUCAGUAAUGCAGGGUUCAGUGGUGAUCUGAGCUCUUGAUGCAUUGUUUCCACAGGUCCUUCAGUGUGUGUGUGUGCGUGUGUGUGCGUGUUUGUGUGUGUGUGUUCACGCAUCUCUGACUCCUGCUCUUCUAUAUUUACCAGGACAGUGAGUGAGAUCUCAUCUCCUUCAGUCAAAGCACACAGUCUCAGAGUCCUGCCUGGAGAACCAGUGUGUGUGUUUAUCUGAGAGCAUGAAGAGCAGAAGUGUGACCCAGCGCUGUGUGGAGGAGCAGACGGGAAAGAUGACCAGCAGCAUGGAGACGUCUAGACAGAUCCAGAAGAAAACCUUCAAAUCCAGUGAUGAAGAAGCCUCCUUGGGUGAAUUCUAUCCCAUCAUUCCUGGUGACGUCAUGUCUGUCAAAGAGAUCCUGACUGGACCCAAGUUCCCUCGUCACAGGACAUGGUACUACACACAUUCAUGUAUUCAAUCUUUUAUUUGUUUAUAUAUGUUUGUUAUUGUUUAUUACAAUCGUACAUUCACGUUCAUCCAUUCACAUGUUUGUUUUUUCAUUUAUUCGGAAGUAUGUUCAGUCAUUCCUUUAUUCAUUUCAUUCAUUUAUUCAUUCAUUGAUUCAUUUGUUUAUAUAUUUAUUGGUUAUUGUUUAUUAUACUUAUUCAUUUGUUCAUUCGUUAAUUUUAUAAUUUCUUAAUUCAUUCAUUCAUUCAUUUAUAUAUUCAUUCAUGUAUUCAUUCAUUCAUGUGUUUCAUUUGUUUCUUCAUUAAUUUAAUAAUUCAUUCAUUCAUUCAUUCAUUCAUGUGUUUGUUCAUUCAUUCAUUUGAUUAGUUCUUUCAUUUUUUUUCAUUUGUUUUGUUCAUCCAUUCAUUUGUUUGUUCUAUUUUUUCUAUUUUUUUAUGUGUACAUUUUUGAUGGAAUUUCCAUUAGAUUUUUGGUGUGAAUUUUGUAGCUAAAAAUGUCAA
rnacentral:lncRNA from 1 species